UAGUCCACGCCGUAAACGAUGUCAACUAGCCGUUGGUUCCAUUUAAGGAAUCAGUGGUGCAGCUAACGCAUUAAGUUGACCGCCUGGGGAGUACGGCCGCAAGGCUGAAACUCAAAGGAAUUGACGGGGGCCCGCACAAGCGGUGGAGCAUGUGGUUUAAUUCGAUGCAACGCGAAGAACCUUACCAGCCCUUGACAUCCUCGGAACUUGGUAGAGAUACCUUGGUGCCUUCGGGAAUCGAGUGACAGGUGCUGCAUGGCUGUCGUCAGCUCGUGUCGUGAGAUGUUGGGUUAAGUCCCGCAACGAGCGCAACCCUUGUCCCUAGUUGCCAGCACUUCGGGUGGGAACUCUAGGGAGACUGCCGGUGAUAAACCGGGAGGAAGGUGGGGAUGACGUCAAGUCAUCAUGGCCCUCAUGGGGCUGGGGCUACACACGUGCUACAAUGGUCGGUACAGAGGGUCGCGAACCCGCGAGGGGGAGC
rnacentral:rRNA from 1 species